GCAGCUAGCUCUCUGCUCUUUAGCCCUCUCACAUGGUCAUUACUGAACCUAAGCAGGGUUGAGCCUGAUGAUUACCUGGAUGGAAGACCCCCUGAGAAAACUACAGUAGCUUGCUGCA
rnacentral:rRNA from 1 species